GUUGCCUGCGCGUGAGACCCAGCUUGCUCUGUGGCUGGUUCCUGUAGAGCCCGGGCCAAGUGACUGCACCAGCUGGGCAAAGAAUGAGUGCUUAAACCUGUGUGACUGUCAGCGGCCUGUGGGCAGGAGAGGAACAGAAUGGAGACGAAGAAGAAAUAGAUGGAGAAAAAUCCAAAAGGAAGGUACCACUGAUGACACCCUGUUGCUGGUGAAUCCCAACCCAUGUCUCACAGUCAAGGCCCCCAG